UGAUAUUUCAAAGCAAAAUGUGUUCAUAAUGCUUUAAAAAGAACAUGUAUGCUUUUUUAGCAUUUGAUGUUUUUUUAAAUGACUUAAUCCAAAAUUUAGAGGAAAUGCCUUUCUAAAAAACUGUUAACCUGCAGAAUGUUAUAAUCAUUCUUUUUUUGUCUUAGCAAUUUCCCAGAUACAGUUCCCAUACUGGAAAUAUUCCUAAUAGCUGCUAAAUUUGUCAAGAAUAAAGUUUUUUCUGUUGAAUCUAUUAGAACAUGUCUACUUUUCUCAUGGGCUGUUGAAAAAUGAAAAACUCCCUUUCUCCCAGGGGUGCUAACAUCUUUUCCUUUUUGCCGAUGACAAUUACUACCAUAUCAUUAGUAGCCAACAAACACCUGAUGGUUGCCAACAUAGCUAAAAUUAGAAAUCCACAGGAUUCAGAAUGACAUUACUAAAACAAGAAAUCUGAACAUGUAAAAAAAAUAACUCCAUAAACAAUAGAACAGUGACAUGAACAUCAGUUUUAUU
rnacentral:lncRNA from 1 species